rnacentral:rRNA from 1 species
AACUCCGUGCCAGCAGCCGCGGUAAUACGGAGGAUCCGAGCGUUAUCCGGAUUUAUUGGGUUUAAAGGGAGCGUAGGCGGGUUGUUAAGUCAGUUGUGAAAGUUUGCGGCUCAACCGUAAAAUUGCAGUUGAUACUGGCGACCUUGAGUGCAACAGAGGUAGGCGGAAUUCGUGGUGUAGCGGUGAAAUGCUUAGAUAUCACGAAGAACUCCGAUUGCGAAGGCAGCUUACUGGAUUGUAACUGACGCUGAUGCUCGAAAGUGUGGGUAUCAAACAGGAUUAGAUACCCUGGUAGUCCACACAGUAAACGAUGAAUACUCGCUGUUGGCGAUAUACUGUCAGCGGCCAAGCGAAAGCAUUAAGUAUUCCACCUGGGGAGUACGCCGGCAACGGUGAAACUCAAAGGAAUUGACGGGGGCCCGCACAAGCGGAGGAACAUGUGGUUUAAUUCGAUGAUACGCGAGGAACCUUACCCGGGCUUGAAUUGCAGAGGAAGGAUUUGGAGACAAUGACGCCCUUCGGGGCCUCUGUGAAGGUGCUGCAUGGUUGUCGUCAGCUCGUGCCGUGAGGUGUCGGCUUAAGUGCCAUAACGAGCGCAACCCCUCUCCUUAGUUGCCAUCAGGUUAAGCUGGGCACUCUGGGGACACUGCCACCGUAAGGUGUGAGGAAGGUGGGGAUGACGUCAAAUCAGCACGGCCCUUACGUCCGGGGCUACACACGUGUUACAAUGGCAGGUACAGAGAGACGGUCCCUUGCAAAACGGAUCAAAUCCUUAAAGCCUGUCUCAGUUCGGACUGGGGUCUGCAACCCGACCCCACGAAGCUGGAUUCGCUAGUAAUCGCGCAUCAGCCAUGGCGCGGUGAAUACGUUCCCGGGCCUUGUACACACCGCCCGUCAAGCCAUGAAAGCCGGGGGUACCUGAAGUACG